GACAGAGGAGCCAAGCGUUGUCCGGAUUGACUGGGCGUAAAGCGCACGCAGGCGGAUGCGCGCGUGGGGUGUGAAAUCUGGCCGCUUAACGGCCAGGCGCCAUCCCAUAUGGCGCGUCUGGAGUGAUGCAGAGGUCGAUGGAAUUGCCGGUGUAGUGGUGAAAUGCGUAGAGAUCGGCAGGAACACCCAGGGGGAAACCAGGCGACUGGGCAGCUACUGACGCUGAGGUGCGAGAGCGUGGGGAGCGAACCGG
rnacentral:rRNA from 1 species